rnacentral:rRNA from 1 species
ACGUAGGGGGCGAGCGUUGUCCGGAAUGACUGGGCGUAAAGGGCGCGUAGGCGGCUUUUUAAGUUAGAAGUGGAAGUCCUGCUUUUAAGGUGGGAAUUGCUUUUAAUACUGGAAGGCUUGAGUGCAGAAGAGGUAAGUGGAAUUCCCAGUGUAGCGGUGAAAUGCGUAGAGAUUGGGAAGAACACCAGUGGCGAAGGCGACUUACUGGGCUGUAACUGACGCUGAGGCGCGAAAGCGUGGGGAGCAAACAG